rnacentral:rRNA from 1 species
GAUGAACGCUAGCGGCAGGCCUAACACAUGCAAGUCGAGGGGCAGCACAUAAAGUGGUUUACUACUUUUGGUGGCGACCGGCGGACGGGUGCGUAACGCGUAUGCAACCUGCCUCCAACAGGGGGAUAACGGAGAGAAAUUUCCACUAAUACCCCAUAAUAUCAGAAUCGGCAUCGGUUUUGGUUGAAAACUCCGGUGGUUGGAGAUGGGCAUGCGUUGUAUUAGAUAGUUGGUGAGGUAACGGCUCACCAAGUCAACGAUACGUAGGGGGACUGAGAGGUUAGCCCCCCACACUGGUACUGGGACACGGACAGACUCCUACGGGAGGCAGCAGUGAGGAAUAUUGGUCAAUGGGGGCAACCCUGAACCAGCCAUGCCGCGUGCAGGAAGACGGCUCUAUGAGUUGUAAACUGCUUUUACAAGGGGAUAAAUCGGUGUACGUGUACACCGUUGAAGGUACCUUGGGAAUAAGGAUCGGCUAACUCCGUGCCAGCCGCCGCAGUAA